AGAUGUUGAUGAUGAUAACACAAGUAAAAUACAGUUAUCCCUGUCUGAUUCCUUCAAAAGGGUGCUGAUUACGUUAUUCUGACACAUCU
rfam:Zea mays cultivar B73 chromosome 6, whole genome shotgun sequence.